rnacentral:rRNA from 1 species
AAGUCGUAACAAGGUUUCCGUAGGUGAACCUGCGAAGGAUCAUUACUGAGUGAGGGCCCUCUGGGUCCAACCUCCCACCCGUGUUUAUUGUACCUUGUUGCUUCGGCGGCCGCCUUUAUGGCCGCCGGGGGCUUACGCUCCGGGCCGCGCCCGCCGAAGACACCCUCGAACUCUGUCUGAAGAUUGUAGUCUGAGUGAAAUUAUAAAUUAUUUAAACUUUCAACAACGGAUCUCUUGGUUCCGGCAUCGAUGAAGAACGCAGCGAAAUGCGAUACGUAAUGUGAAUUGCAGAAUUCAGUGAAUCAUCGAGUCUUUGAACGCACAUUGCGCCCCUGGUAUUCCGGGGGGCAUGCCUGUCCGAGCGUCAUUGCUGCCCUCAAGCACGGCUUGUGUGUUGGGCCCGUCCUCCGAUCCCGGGGACGGGCCGAAAGGCAGCGGCGGCACCGCGUCCGGUCCUCGAGCGUAUGGGGCUUUGUCACCCGCUCUGUAGGCCCGGCCGGCGCUUGCCGAUCAACCAAAUUUUUUCCAGGUUGACCUCGGAUCAGGUAGGGAUACCCGCUGAACUUAA